ensembl:lncRNA
GCAAGGUCACAGGCUUCCUCCUCUCUGUAAAUGUCUCAAGGCCGAAGACAGGCUGGUUGGGAAAGCUCCGACCAGCAAGGCCAUAUGCUCCCCCUCCCCUACCUAAAACCCCAAAUAGAAACCCUUCCUUUUAGCUUUUCGGGGAGUUUGGGAUUUCAGCGUUAGCUGCCCUCUCUCCUUGCUCAGCACUGUGCAAAAAUAAAGUUCCUACUUUCUUCCACCACCCCCGGUGUCAGAGAUUGGCUUGCUGCGCAACGGGACCGGCUGGAAAUAAUGGGUACCCUGGCAGCCCUCUGGGCUCCAUUUGUUUUGAAGUUGCCCGACGCCCCGGCCAAAUUUUGAGUGAAGAAAACUUUUUUUCUCUAUUCUCUGAAAGAACUAUGACUUGCAACAAUUUAUAAACAAAAUUGAAACAUUUGUCUUUUCCUCCCUAUCUGAGCCCCCCAAAACGCAAAAACUUCUGAUAAGACACAAUUGGAAACAGUGGUUAUAUGACCAAGGCUUUGACUGGAACAUCGUGUUUGAAAAAACAUACGGGCUUGACUAUAACAAGACAGCUUUUGAGGAAUGAAGGUUGACAUUCUGGAAUAAAGCCACUUGGAAAUAUUGGCCUGGUACUGUGCUUAUGGGUUCUGUAACCUGGUAAGGUUGAGCAAAGAAUGUCACUCCCUCUGGCAGGUACCAGGAACCUCAAUAUUUUGGGGAACCUCACGAAGAGAGAGAUUCACCCAAAUCUGCAGGUCCUGCAGGCAGAAUGUGAUACAGGUCCUUUGCUUGGCUUUCCUUGAGAGGCCUUUAAAGAUCAACCUGAGGUUCCAUAUAAGGUUCCAGCAAAGCAGAUUUAAAAGAGCCUAUAUGAUCAGUUACUAUUCUUGCUGUGCUUAUGUAAAUAAUUAUGCCAAAUUUAUUAAAACUAUACAUUUUGCAAACCAGAGUGAAAUAGAGGGUGAUUUUACAGGGGAAGAUUAUAUUUCAAUAGACACUAUAAUACAUGUUUAUAGAUAUUAGACUUUAGUUUUUCCAAUUGUCUUUGAAAUUUUUAUUUUACUUCUGUUAACUGGACUGGAUCUUGAAUUCUUCACCUCCUGAAAUAUCUGGCUAAAAACCUCCAAACCGAGAUUUUCAGGGUUUUUCCCCCCAUUAUUUUCAUUUAGAGUCAUUGAAAACUAAAUCUGCCCUUUUUCUAAAGCCUUACAAACUGAAGCUGGAGGACCUAAUAGAAACUUCAGAGAGAUUCAUGUCUGCAGCUGUGUAAGCCACUCAAAAAGCUACCUGAGUGCCCGAUGACACCAUCUGAGACAUUUCAAACUGCAGAAGAUGCUUCGACCCUGACUUCCAGGAAUCUUGAUUGGCUGCCCCCUGGGCUCAGAAACUGGUUUAUAAUUUGCUCCAACGAUUAACCUUGUUUUUCUCUUUUUGUUUCUCUAGAAAAUCUUCUUAUUAAAUACCUGGUUACUUACUUACAUGAUACAGGCCUACCUUCAGGAGCCCACCAGCAUCACCGCCUUAUUAAAAGACUGGUUCAAUGAGAUGAAACGACCUAUGCCCCAUUUCAGCAGGAAGUAGCUAGAUCCGUCGCCGCCCCAAAUCCCUCAAGAUUGAGGGAGGACAUAAAAUAGGGGGGAGUUGAUAUCGACCCUGAUAUCAGUUUCCCCACAUUAAACUCAGCAUGUAUGGGGUUAAAACCAAAACACUCAUUCCCUGCUUACUCUCUGGCUUCCUGGCUCCAGAAUCCACUAUCCUCCAUGAAGACAGACACCGCCAAGGACAAGCACCUGGACUAUCUCCUCCCGCAAAGAGAUCCGGGCUGAUGGGGAAGCUCCAACCAGCAAGGCCAUAUGCUCCCCCUCCCCUACCUAAAACCCCAAAUAAAAACCCUUCCUUUUAGCUUUUCGGGGAGUUUGGGAUUUCAGCGUUAGCUACCCUCUCUCCUUGCUCAGCACUGUGCAAAAAUAAAGUUCCUACUUUCUUCCACCACCCCCCGUGUCAGAGAUUGGCUUGCUGCACAACGGGUGAGGGAACUCACUUCAUGAUUGGUAACAACAUGACCUCCUUUCACCUCAGUUACUUCUUCAAAGGCACUGUCUUCAAACACAGUCACAGGCUGAGGUACUAGGAGUUAGGACCUUGUCAUAUGAAUUUUGAGGGGGACACAAUUCAGUCCGUAACAAGAGGGAAGGGAAUAUCUUGUUUCUAGACAUUUUCUUUCUUCCACUGGAAUACACUCAAAUGAAUACAAAGUCCCCUCCUAGAGUUUAUCCUCUUUUCCUACUGUGUCUGUUGAGUAGCCAUCAUCCAGCCAUAAGUUCUUCUCGGGUUGUUCUUUGUUCUAAAUGCAAGGCUCCUUUGGGAUCAUCAGCCCCCUCUCAGAUCCUUACAUGCC